GCAUCCGAUGGUGGUGGAAAGGAUUCUGGUCUGGGAUGGGCCCGCGGCCUAUCAGCUUGUUGGUGGGGUAAUGGCCUACCAAGGCGACGACGGGUAGCCGGCCUGAGAGGGCGACCGGCCACACUGGGACUGAGACACGGCCCAGACUCCUACGGGAGGCAGCAGUGGGGAAUAUUGCGCAAUGGGCGAAAGCCUGACGCAGCGACGCCGCGUGAGGGACGAAGGUCUUCGGAUUGUAAACCUCUUUCAGCAGGGAUGAAGCGAAAGUGACAGUACCUGCAGAAGAAGCACCGGCUAACUACGUGCCAGCAGCCGCGGUAAUACGUAGGGUGCAAGCGUUGUCCGGAUUUAUUGGGCGUAAAGAGCUCGUAGGCGGUCUGUCGCGUCGGAUGUGAAAACCCAAUGGCUUAACCUUGGGCCUGCAUACGAUACGGGCAGACUAGAGUGCGGUAGGGGAGACUGGAAUUCCUGGUGUAGCGGUGGAAUGCGCAGAUAUCAGG
rnacentral:rRNA from 1 species